UACGAAGGGGGCUAGCGUUGCUCGGAAUCACUGGGCGUAAAGGGUGCGUAGGCGGGUCUUUAAGUCAGGGGUGAAAUCCUGGAGCUCAACUCCAGAACUGCCUUUGAUACUGAAGAUCUUGAGUUCGGGAGAGGUGAGUGGAACUGCGAGUGUAGAGGUGAAAUUCGUAGAUAUUCGCAAGAACACCAGUGGCGAAGGCGACUACCUGGCCUGUUCUUGACGCUGAGGCGCGAAAGCUAGGGGAGCAAACGGGG
rnacentral:rRNA from 1 species